rnacentral:rRNA from 1 species
GCUUGUCUCAAAGAUUAAGCCAUGCAUGUUCAAGUAUAGCAAGUGUACAGUGAAACUGCGAAUGGCUCAUUAAAUCAGUUAUAAUUUAUUUGAUAGUGAAAUUGUACAUGGAUAACCGUGGCAAUUCUAGGGCUAAUACAUGCGUCAAUGGUCGGUCGACCAGUAUUUAUUAGAUUAACCAACCCUCCGGGUUCUGGUGACUCAUAAUAACUGAGCGAACCGCAUGCUCACGCGGCGGUAGUUCGACCAAGUUUCUGCCCUAUCAGCUUUCGAUGGUAGGGUAUUGGCCUACCAUGGCGUUCACGGGUAACGGAGAAUUAGGGUUCGAUUCCGGAGAGGGAGCCUGAGAGAUGGCUACCACAUCCAAGGAAGGCAGCAGG